rnacentral:rRNA from 1 species
CCUACGGGGGGCAGCAGUGAGGAAUAUUGGUCAAUGGACGCAAGUCUGAACCAGCCAAGCCGCGUGAGGGAAGACGGCUCUAUGAAUUGUAAACUUCUUUUGUACGAGGGUAAACGCAGAUACGCGUCUCUGUCUGAAGGUAUCUUACGAAAAAGCAUCGGCUAACUCCGUGCCAGCAGCCGCGGUAAUACGGAGGAUUCAAGCGUUAUCCGGAUUUAUUGGGUUUAAAGGGUGCGUAGGCGGUCGGAUAAGUUAGAGGUAAAAUCCCGAGGCUCAACUUCGGAAUUGCCUCUGAUACUGUCCGGCUAGAGAGUAGGUGCGGUAGGCGGAAUGUAUGGUGUAGCGGUGAAAUGCUUAGAGAUCAUACAGAACACCGAUUGCGAAGGCAGCUUACCAAGCUACUUCUGACGUUGAGGCACGAAAGCGUGGGGAGCAAACAGGAUUAGAUACCCCUGUAGUC